AGAGUUUGAUCCGGCUCAGAUUGAACGCUGGCGGCAUGCCUAACACAUGCAAGUCGCACGCGAAAGGGGGCAACCCCGAGUAGAGUGGCGGACGGGUGCGUAAUACGCAGGAAUCUACCCACGAGUGGGGGACAACCCGGGGAAACCCGGGCUAAUACCGCAUGAGACCUACGGGUGAAAGCGGGGGAUCGCAAGACCUCGCGCUGGUGGAUGAGCCUGCGUCCGAUUAGCUAGUUGGUAGGGUAAAAGCCUACCAAGGCAACGAUCGGUAGCUGGUCUGAGAGGACGACCAACCACACUGGGACUGAGACACGGCCCAGACUCCUACGGGAGGCAGCAGUGGGGAAUAUUGGACAAUGGGGGCAACCCUGAUCCAGCAAUGCCGCGUGUGUGAAGAAGGCCUUCGGGUUGUAAAGCACUUUCGAUGGGGACAAACGUGUCGGGCUUAAUACGUCCGGCCUUGAUGGUACCUAGAGAAGAAGCACCGGCUAACUCUGUGCCAGCAGCCGCGGUAAUACAGAGGGUGCAAGCGUUAAUCGGAAUUACUGGGCGUAAAGCGUGCGUAGGUGGUUGGAUAAGUCAGGUGUGAAAUCCCCGAGCUUAACUUGGGAAUUGCGCUUGAUACUGUCCGGCUAGAGUGUGGUAGAGGGUAGUGGAAUUCCGCAUGUAGCGGUGAAAUGCGUAGAUAUGCGGAGGAACAUCAAUGGCGAAGGCGGCUACCUGGACCAACACUGACACUGAGGCACGAAAGCGUGGGUAGCAAACAGGAUUAGAUACCCUGGUAGUCC
rnacentral:rRNA from 1 species